GUAGGACCGUUCCGUUAGGAGGUAGGACUGUUCCGUUAGGAGUUAGGACCGUUCUGUUAGGAGGUAGGACACUUCCGUUAGGAGGUAGGACACUUCCGUUAGGAGGUAGGAUACAUCCGUUAGGAGGUAGGACUGUUCCGUUAGGAGGCAGGACACUUCGGUUAGGAGGUAGGACUGUUCCGUUAGGAGGUAGGACACUUCGGUUAGGAGGUAGGACUGUUCCGUUAGGAGGUAGGACACUUCGGUUAGAAGGUAGGACCGUUCCGUUAGGAGGUAGGACCGUUCCGUUAGGAGGUAGGACACUUCCGUUAGAAGGUAGGACACUUCCGUUAGAAGGUAGGACCGUUCUGUUAGGAGGUAGGACCGUUCCGUUAGGAGGUAGGACUGUUCCGUUAGGAGGUAGGACCGGUCCGUUAGGAGGUAGGACCGUUCUGUUAGGAGGUAGGACACUUCCGUUAGGAGUUAGGACCGUUCUGUUAGGAGGUAGGACUGUUCCGUUAGGAGGUAGGACUGUUCCGUUAGGAGGUAGGACCGUUCUAUUAGGAGGUAGGACUGUUCCGUUAGGAGGUAGGACACUUCCGUUAGAAGGUAGGACUCUUCCGUUAGGAGGUAGGACCGUUCCGUAGGAGGUAGGACACUUCCGUUAGAAGGUAGGACCGUUCUGUUAGGAGGUAGGACUGUUCCGU
ensembl:lncRNA